AGUUUUCAUUCCCAGUGGUCCCUAGAAAGUUGAAUAUUAAAUUUCACAGAACGCCCGUUCGCUUUUUGCAGUGUUGUUGUUCUGUUUUGCAAAACAAGCGAGAGUGCAAAGAAAACCGAGAGGGCACGCCCUAUGGCAAACGUGCCCUCCCGUCAUAACUGAUGAGGCCCGUGGAGUGACCAUUUCUCUAUUGCACACUAUUUUCACGCCACAGCUGACCACCCUGUUUUCUCUGCCGCACGGCGGAGCUAGCCGGUGCCAGCCUCGCUGCCUCGUUGUUUACCGGG
ensembl:ncRNA F13D11.22 ncRNA